rnacentral:RNase_P_RNA from 1 species
AAAGUCGGUCAGGCAAUCGCUCUUUACCCUGGUAAAGGGAGGAAAGUCCGGGCUCCAUUGGGCAGAGUGCCAGGUAACACCUGGGAGGCGCGAGUCUACGGAAAGUGCCACAGAAAAUAUACCGCCUGUUUACUGUUGUAUCUGUAAAGACAUAACAGCAUCAGGUAAGGGUGAAAUGGUGCGGUAAGAGCGCACCGCGCGGCUGGCAACAGGCGUGGCAGGGAAAACCCCACUCGGAGCAAGACCAAAUAGGAAUCCAUGUGAUCGUAAGAUCACAACGCACGGCCCGUGCGGGAUUCGGGUAGGUUGCUUGAGGCAAACGGUGACGUUUGUCCCAGAUGAAUGAUUGUCCGCGACAGAACCCGGCUUAUCGACCGACUUUUUAU